UGUCGUUCCGUAUGGCGAUUUUUUGUCUCAUCUGUACGCGAGAUUAGACGAUAUGAUAAGAUUUGUCCGCGAUUUUAUCGCGCGGCGCACGAGCGGACGGCCACUGACGUCAGCUAUUCGGCGAGAGACGCGACGGGGACUUACCGCUGUGGGGCCCACCAAGAUGUCCGAUUUGAACCGGACGCUCCGACGUUAUCCACUCGCCGC
rnacentral:lncRNA from 1 species